GGGUAAUUUUCCGCAAUGGGCGCAAGCCUGACGGAGCAAGACCGCGUGAGGGAAGAAGGUCUGUGGAUUGUAAACCUCUUUUGAUAGGGAAGAAGACAGUGACGGUACCUAUCGAAUCAGCCUCGGCUAACUCCGUGCCAGCAGCCGCGGUAAUACGGAGGAGGCAAGCGUUAUCCGGAAUUAUUGGGCGUAAAGAGUCCGUAGGUGGGUCACCCAGUCAGUUGUUAAAUAGUGAAGCUUAACUUCAUAGAGGCGACUGAAACUGGUGGUCUAGAGUGUGGUAGGGGUAGAGGGAAUUUCCAGUGUAGCGGUGAAAUGCGUAGAUAUUGGAAAGAACACCGGUGGCGAAAGCGCUCUACUGGGCCUGCACUGACACUGAGGGACGAAAGCUAGGGGAGCGAAAGGGAUUAGAUACCCCUGUAGUCCUAGCCGUAAACGAUGGAUACUAGGCGUUGCCCGUAUCGACCCGGGCAGUGUCGUAGCCAACGCGUUAAGUAUCC
rnacentral:rRNA from 1 species